rnacentral:rRNA from 1 species
GAUCAUGCCUCAGGACGAACGCUGGCGGCACGCUUAACGCAUGCAAGUCGAACGAGAGAAGAGAAGCUUGCUUUUCUGAUCUAGUGGCGGACGGGUGAGUAACACGUGAGCAAUCUGCCUUUCAGAGGGGGGAUACCGAUUGGAAACGAUCGUUAAUACCGCAUAAUAUAAUUGAACCGCAUGAUUUGAUUAUCAAAGAUUUAUCGACUGAAAGAUGAGCUCGCGU